rnacentral:tRNA from 2 species
GCCCCUGUAGUUCAAUUGGAUAGAACUGCCCCGUCCUAAGGGGUUAAUAGCUGUUCGAAUCAGCUCGGGGGCA